CAAGAACACAUGACAAAUACCCUACUGGUGAUUGAAAAUAAUCGCCCUUGACAAAAGUGGUCUCACUUUAUUCUUGAUCAAUUCUUGGUUUCGUUCCUUCGUCAUGUGGUUUAUUCUAACUUUAAUG
rnacentral:lncRNA from 1 species